rnacentral:rRNA from 1 species
AACGAACGCUGGCGGCAUGCCUAACACAUGCAAGUCGAACGAGACCUUCGGGUCUAGUGGCGCACGGGUGCGUAACGCGUGGGAAUCUACCCUUGGGUUCGGAAUAACUCAGAGAAAUUUGAGCUAAUACCGGAUGAUGUCGCAAGACCAAAGAUUUAUCGCCCAAGGAUGAGCCCGCGUAGGAUUAGCUUGUUGGUGAGGUAAAAGCUCACCAAGGCGACGAUCCUUAGCUGGUCUGAGAGGAUGAUCAGCCACACUGGGACUGAGACACGGCCCAGACUCCUACGGGAGGCAGCAGUGGGGAAUAUUGGACAAUGGGCGAAAGCCUGAUCCAGCAAUGCCGCGUGAGUGAUGAAGGCCUUAGGGUUGUAAAGCUCUUUUACCCGGGAUGAUAAUGACAGUACCGGGAGAAUAAGACUCCGGCUAACUCCGUGCCAGCAGCCGCGGUAAU